CUCUUGUUUUUUUUUUACGAAGCCACACUGUUGUAACGUGCUGAAUGUGGCUUGGCAUUGUCUUGCUGAAAUAAGCGGGGGCGUCCAUGAAAAAAACGGUGCUUAGAUGGUAGCAUAUGUUGUUCCAAAAGCUGUAUGUACCUUUCAGCAUUAAUGGUGCCUUCACAGAUGUGUAAGUUACCCAUGCCUUGGGCACUAAUGCACCCCCAUACCAUCACACAUGCUGGCUUUUCAACUUUGUGUCGAUAACAGUCUGGAUGGUUCGCUUCCCCUUUGGUCUGGAUGACACGAUGGCGAAUAUUUCCAAAAACAAUUUGAAAUGUGGACUCGUCAGAGCACAGAACUCUUUUCCUCUUUGCAUCAGUCCAUCUUAGAUGAUCUCGGGCCCAGAGAAGCUGGCAGCGUUUUUGGAUGUUGUUGAUAAAUGGCUUUCGCUUUCUACAGUAGAGCUUUAACUUGCAGUUACAGAUGUAGCGACAAACUGUAUUUAGUGACAGUGGUUUUCUGAAGUGUUCCUGAGCCCAUGUGGUGAUAUCCUUUAGAGAUUGAUGUCAGUUUUAGAUACAGUGCCGUCUGAGGGAUGGAAGGUCACGGUCAUUCAAUGUUGGUUUCCGGCCAUGCCGCGUAUGUGGAGUGAUUUCUCCAGAUUCUCUGAAACUUUUGAUGAUAUUAUGGAGCGUAGAUGUUGAAAUCCCUAAAUGUCUUGCAAUUGCACUUUGAGAAACGUUGUUCUCAAACUGUUUGACUAUUUGCUCACGCACUUGUGGACAAAGGGGUGUACCUCGCCCCAUCCUUUCUUGUGAAAGACUGAGCAUUUUUUGGGAAGCUGUUUUUAGAGCCAAUCAUGGCACCCACCUGUUCCCAAUUAGCCUGCACACCUGUGGGAUGUUCCAAAUAAGUGUUUGUUUGAUGAAAUACCACCUCAGAAAAAACUUGGCUCUCCGACUUCCAUCGUAACGACCCACAUUAAAAUACAGUAGCAUAAUAGACCUAACUAUUUACAAUAGACUGCAAGGACAAGAUAUUUCAUCUUCACACUGAGAAUCUUUUUUUUUUGCAAAUAACAAUGAAGUUAGAAUGUAAUGGCAGCAACACAUUGUAAAAAAGGCAUUUUUACCAGUGUGUUACAUGGCCUUUCCUUUGAACAACACUCAGUAAAGGUUUGGGAACUGAGGAGACACAUUUUUGAAGUGGAAUUCUUUCCCAUUCUUGCUUGAUGUACAGCUUAAGUUGUUCAACAGUCUCCUGACUCAUAUUUUAGCCUUCACACAUUUUCAAUGUCUGGACUACAGGCAGGCCAGUCUAGUACCUGCACUCUUUUACUAUGAAGCCACGCUGUUGUAACACCUGGCUUGGCAUUGUCUUGCUGAAAUAAGCAGGGGCGUCCGUAAUAACAAUAUAUGUUGCUCCAAAUCUGUACGUACCUUUCAGCAUGAAUUUUGCCUUCACAGAUGUGUAAGUUAGCCUUGCCUUGGGCACUAAUACACCCCCAUACCAUCACACAUGCUGCCUACAACACUUUCACCCUACAACAAUCAUUAAUACACCCCCAUACCAUCACACAUGCUGACUACCACACUUUCACCCUACAACAAUCACUAAUACACCCCCAUACCAUCACACAUGCUGACUACCACACUUUCACCCUACAACAAUCACUAAUACACCCCCAUACCAUCACACAUGCUGCCUACAACACUUUCACCCUACAACAAUCAUUAAUACACCCCCAUACCAUCACACAUGCUGACUACCACACUUUCACCCUACAACAAUCACUAAUACACCCCCAUACCAUCACACAUGCUGACUACCACACUUUCACCCUACAACAAUCACUAAUACACCCCCAUACCAUCACACAUGCUGCCUACAACACUUUCACCCUACAACAAUCACUAAUACACCCCCAUAACAUCACACAUGCUGACUACCACACUUUCACCCUACAACAAUCACUAAUACACCCCCAUACCAUCACACAUGCUGACUACCACACUUUCACCCUACAACAAUCACUAAUACACCCCCAUACCAUCACACAUGCUGACUACCACACUUUCACCCUACAACAAUCACUAAUACACCCCCAUACCAUCACACAUGCUGACUACAACACUUUCACCCUACAACAAUCACUAAUACACCCCCAUACCAUCACACAUGCUGACUACCACACUUUCACCCUACAACAAUCACUAAUACACCCCCAUACCAUCACACAUGCUGACUACAACACUUUCACCCUACAACAAUCACUAAUACACCCCCAUACCAUCACACAUGCUGACUACCACACUUUCACCCUACAACAAUCACUAAUACACCCCCAUACCAUCACACAUGCUGACUACAUCACUUUCACCCUACAACAAUCACUAAUACACCCCCAUACCAUCACACAUGCUGACUACAACACUUUCACCCUACAACAAUCACUAAUACACCCCCAUACCAUCACACAUGCUGACUACCACACUUUCACCCUACAACAAUCACUAAUACACCCCCAUACCAUCACACAUGCUGACUACAACACUUUCACCCUACAACAAUCACUAAUACACCCCCAUACCAUCACACAUGCUGACUACCACACUUUCACCCUACAACAAUCACUAAUACACCCCCAUACCAUCACACAUGCUGACUACAACACUUUCACCCUACAACAAUCACUAAUACACCCCCAUACCAUCACACAUGCUGCCUACAACACUUUCACCCUACAACAGUCCAGAUGGUUCUUUUUCUCUUUGGUUCACAGUUUCCCAAAACAAUUUGAAAUGUGGACUCGUCAGACCACAGAACACUUUUUUACUUUGCAUCAGUUCAUCUUAGAUGAGCGAAGCCGGUGGCGUUUCUGGGUGUUGUUGAUAAAUGACUUUGGCUUUGCAUAGUAGAGUUUUAACUUGCACUUACAGAUGUAACGACCAACAGUAGUUACUGACAGUGGUUUUCUGAAGUGUUCCAUGUGGUGAUAUCCUUUACACACUGAUGUGGCUUUUUGACGCAGUACCGCCUGAGGGAUCCAAGGUGUGUAAUAUCAUGGCUUACGUGCAGUGAUUUCUCCAGAUUCUCUGAACCUUUUGAUGAUAUUACAGAGCGUAGAUGGUGAAAUCCCUAAAUUUCUUGCAAUAGCUGCUUGAGAAAUGUUGUUCUUAAACAAUUUGCUCAGGCAUUUGUUGACAAAGUGGUGACCCUCGCCCCGUCCUGGUUUGUGAAUGAGUGAGCAUUUCAUAGAAGCUGCUUUUAUAGCCAAUCAUGGCACCCACCUGUUCCCAAUUAGCCUGUUCACCUGUGGCAUGUUCCAAGUAAGUCUUUGAUGAGCAUUCCUCAACUUUCCCACUCUUUUUUGCCACUUGUGCCAGCUUUUUAGAAACAUGUUGCAGGCAUCAAAUCCCAAAUGAGCUAAUAUUUGCAAAAAAUAACAAAGUUUACCAGUUGGAACGUUAAAUAUUCUUUGCAGUCUAUUCAAUUGAAUAUAAGUUGAAAAUGAUGUGUUUUUAUUUACACGAGGUGACAACUUCACUGCUUUUGGGCUUUGUAUUAAAAAGAAAGCAGAGGAUUUAUUUAACAAAAUAUUGAAUAUUUUUGGCCACUGAAACAUUAGACAGUUGAAAUAAGUGAAAGUAAAACACUGUACUUUACUCGAGUGCGAGUGGUACAUGUAGCACAGUUUGAGAAUCACUGUUUUAGAAGAUUAUUAAUGCUGUAUUUAUUUGUCUUUUUAGAAUAAUUAUUGGAAACAUUGCAAGAGAAACAUGAUGUCAUUUGUCUCCUCAGGGGACUGAAGGACUGACAUCACAUCUGCUGGAGGCCCUGGUGUCACAUCCACUUUGGACCUUGGCCCUCCUUUUGGCCGCCGCGUGGUCCACCUGGUGGUACAUCAGAGACUCCUGCCAGGUGGACACAUUCAGCCUCAAGC